AAUAGAAUCAGGCCUUUUCCCUUCACUGAAAACAGCAUUGUGACGUAUGCUUACUGUUCAAGAUGUGACGAAUGUCUCUCACUCAAUCUGUUUGGAGGUGUUCCCUAUCACCUCAUGGUGCUCUGUGCCUGUCUUGGGGGUUUAGUGAAUACAACAGUCUUGUGCAGACGUGACGUUGCUGUGUGCUCCUGUAUGCAGGAACUGGGUGGAAGCUGUUUAGCUGAAAAAUGCUAAUGAAUUCUUUUAUCAAAGGAAACAAACAGCAUACCAGCAAGUGGUUUAUUAAUUUCUCGUUCUGGAAAGGAAGGAGGCACUACAGCAAUGAGAACAAGCUUCUCUAUGCUCAGAAGGAGUCUUUAAAAUAUUGCUUUCCAGCUGCAACAUCAGCACCUCAAAAUCUGACUGAUAUGGUGGAUCAUUCCCAGACUGCCAGAAGACUUAGAGACCUGUGAGGCCUGAGGACAAGUGAUAAAAGCUUUCCCUUCCUAAGGACUGAAGGAACAUACGUGUGGGCACGCAAAGGUUGGGAAGAACAAUGUUACCAAGCCUGUUCCUAAAGAAAAUGCACGUAGCAACACUUGGAGUACUCAAGAGCAAUUUAUGUAGCCAUCUAGAUAAAGCUACAGGAGCGAACAGUUAUGUUAAGUGCAUAAUACUGUGUUAGUCCUGCUUAUCUCAUUUCACUUACUUGACAGACAGUUCUUGUACUAGACCAGUUUGUGCUUGUGUGAAAUAAGCAGUGAGAAUAAUUCACAAUCUUUCUUCCUUAAUGUUUUUACCACCUGGAGCCAGAAGUGGGCUUUCAGCCCAAGGAACAAGGAAGCUCCUUUCAUAACUUCCUAAAAAGAUUCCGAGCACUCACUCUAUUUGACAUCAUGCUGUACACAGUACUUCUUUCAACAGAUGUAGUGGAGCUUAUUGAUGAGUACCCGCUCUACUCUUAAAACUAGGCAGUCCUGUCGUGGUCCAAAUGUACAAGUUGAAAUCAGAACUGUGUUGGGAUACUCACAGUUCUCCUUUAUUGCCUUUAUUGAAGACGAGCUUGAUUCACUACAUACUUGAGUCCUGUUCUCUGUUAAUAUUGACAACACAUUUUAAAUGUUGAAAAAAUAAACAGACAAACAAAGCAAACAAACUCACCACCACAACCUCCCACCAACAAAACAAAUGUCCACAAUACACCAUAGCGGUUAAGUAUAAGGUAUCAUCACUGUGUGUCAUUAAUGGUUUAUCAGUGGGGAUGGAUGAGCAGUAGAGGGACAGGCAUGACAGUGUAUGUUCUGGAAGACUAUCACAACCUGCAGUUCUGAAAACUUGAUGUGAGCACACUAAAGAUAAAGAGAACAAUUGGAUGAAUGUAUUACAUCAUUAUAUGUAUUCUUUUUAUUCCUAGGACUGAGAGAUUGCAAAUGGCAUCUUUCAGAAGUAAACUGAUGUGCUUACUUCAAACCGGGCUUGUACCAGAGUAAAUAUGAGUUGAGAGAACAUGAAAUGGAUUAACUAUACAAAUUAUAUACAAAAUAGAAAAUAAUGAUAAAGAAUCUAUAAUAGCAUCAACAAAAAAAAAAUGUUUUCUUCAUUUUGCCUGUAGAUGAAAGUCUUAGGAAUUAUGUUUUUUGCAUUUUAGGGUUCUCAUCCAGAAGAUACUCAAAAUGUCUUGUUCACAGGUAGUACUGGGGAAUUAAAUAUCAUUCUAAUUAGACUAUAUUGCACUAAAUCUUGAAAGAAAGAUAAUCCGCUUGUGAUUAAGAAAUUUAAUCAUUCUUUUUAUGUAAGUUAUGACUAAACUAUUAAAUUCCCCAAACUACUAAAAAUCAAGGAUUCUAAUGGAACCUGUGUUGCAGUACUAACUACAAUUGUUAGUCAUUGAGUUAAUAAUUCUGUAAGACUUAACGGUCCAUCAUUCUGUUGCUUCUACUUGCUCUAACAGGGUCUCUCACUUCUUGUUGAAUAAUACCAUGAUUUGAAUCUCCUCAAUAUAAGGGGAAAAAAAUGUCCUCCUGUGUUCACAUAACACAAAACAUUGCUCAAGAAUGAAAUCACAUGCUCAUCCUAAAUGUACUGAAAAGCAUUGGAAACCUGACUUCAUACCAGCAGGAUUUAUUCCAGAGCUUGUAUUAUCAUCCCAUGCUGCUCUAAUUUUGUGAUGGUUCAGAUAUUUUAAGUCCUCUUAGAGCCAGAAUAGGACUGCUAGAAAAGAAUAAAACUGGCAUAGAAUCUGUAGUAUGUGCUCUGAUUACUCUGACAGACGUGAUUAUGUGAUGAUAUUCAGGUUUUUACAGGCGAUCUGACAGAGCUCCAGUCUCUGGGAGACACAAGAGGGGAGAAUGCAGAAACACUGAUGCUGGGCUAAAGAAGAAAACUUCCAUGGGCCAAACCAAAUGCUGGGCUGGAAGCUCAGUUAAACUGCUUUUAAAAAUGCUUUGGGCCAGACUCUGAACACCAUUGAAUCAAUUUGUUCCUAGCAGGGGUAGGAGGAAUGAGUAACUCUUACUUCAUGACAGUACUUGAGAGUAAAAAGACGAACCACAGAGAAACCUCUGUGAUUAGGCCUCAUCAUUGUGUGAACUAAUCCUUCUGAAAGAUUCAACAUGCCUUGAAAUAGUUUGGUAACGGAAAUUCUUCUUUUAGCAGAGAAGAGGCAAUUCCUUUUGUCCAGAACUCAAUAAUUUCAUUUAGUACUUUCUUGAAAUUUCCAUCCAAUGGGCUACCUACAAGGAUCAGACUGUCUCUGCUGGAAGGACAUUUGAAUGUGUUCUGAGAGAACAGAGAAGACUCUGACAGUAACAUACUAACAAUUCUUUUUGCAUA